GCCGAAGUGGUGGAACUGGUAGACACGCUAUCUUGAGGGGGUAGUGAGGGCAACCUCGUGCGGGUUCGAGUCCCGCUUUCGGCA
rnacentral:tRNA from 1 species